CUAGAAGCCAGCCUUCAUAAAUAUAGCAUUUUAAGCCCUAUAAACAUCAAUCUUAGAGACUUUUCUCCAGCUGAAAUGAAAACCAAGCACUACUCCUAUUGCUCUGGAAAACCAGGAACAGUAUGGAAGUAUGAAACUGAACCCCGUCAUUCCAAAGAGCACCGCCAUGAGCUGACUGCUGAGUCAAGAGGCCUCCAUAUCUGCCUUGCACAUACUAGGGAAUUGCAGCAGCAGCAUUCGGUACCAAGAGACUUCAAAGCAAUAUAUUCCAGGAUGAACUAUCAGCUAGUACAGCUCACCGUGGAUGCUAUAAACAUUACUAGCUUUGCAUGCUGGUGCACAUAUGGACUGAAAUUCUAAUCUCAUUGGAAUGGGUGGGAGCUUUGCUAGUCACUACACUGUCAUCAGGAUCUCACCCACUGUAUCUUAAACUGUAAAAUAUCGCCAUAUGUGAUGGAUGCAGAGCCCUGCCUCUCUGCUGUACCUUCGGCAGGUGUUCUCUAUAAUAACACUAAGAACAUUUCUCACAAGUUUUAUUUUCUUGAAAUCGUGUAAUUUCAAUUGUGUAUUGAUGAUAUCCAGAAGAGACUAACUGCUUCUAGGCAACACUUAGGACUCACUUUAGAAUCACAGAAUCACCAAGGUUGGAAAAGCCCUCGAAGAUCAUCUGCUCCAGCGUUCCACCACUUUAGGAAGGAGCUGUUUUUUUUCUAAAGCAAUGUUCUCAGGCUUAUGGGAGCACUCAGCGAAGAGGCUGCUGGAGGCAGGUGAAGGAAUGUCAGAGAAACGAGGAGAGUUCCGCUUAUACACAGUAGUGAAAAUUCUGCAACCUGGAGCUGUGCAGAUGGGCGCCUGCAUCUACGCCUCAUCACAAAGUAACCGGGCUACUUGCUCACAGAGCUCCCGCUGCUUUUCCUCAUUUAUAUUGUUUUCAGAUAAACUACUGUGUUUUUCAAAGACUUGAUGUCUCUCAAACACUGCAGAUUAACAGAACCAUAUUGCUUUAUUCGCGUCAAGGACAUCAUCAUCAGAGGUGGCAGAUAGCAGGAAUACGCAGCUGGAGGGACAGGAAGAAGAACUUGGUGAGAGCAAGUGAACAGGAACAGAAGUGAACAGUAAAGCUUUGAAGGUAACAGAGCGCUGGAACAGGAUGCCCAGAGAGGUUGUGGAGUCUUCUCCUCUGGAGAUAUUCAAAACCCACACAGAUGCUUUCCUGUGCAACCUACUGUAGGGAACCUGCUUCAGCAGGGGGGUUGAACUGACGAUCUCCAGAGUUCCCUUCCAACCCCCGUGAUUCUGUGACUGCAGGACUGUGUGAAGACUGUGUUAGAAAUGUGCUGGAGAUAGGUAGAGCGGCGAAAGAUAAGUAGUUUUUAACCAAAAAGGCAAAUUAUUAGCCUACGGGAACAAACCUUUCAGAAGUAUCUUGGAAUUUUAAUGUUCACAUACCUGCCUGUAACUGUCAGGUCUGCUGUGCUUACUGGGGGACAUUUGAGAGAGGUGUGCUCUACAGUAAAUCCCAGCUGUUGUUCAUGGGAAUGUGAAAAUUUCCUGCCUCAGUGAGCUGGGUAAGUUACUUCCACUGAUUUUUAAGAUUCUAAAUCUGCAAGAAAGGAAUACAAUUCUGCUUCACAGCAAUGUUUAGAGGAAUUCAUAGAUAAUAUUUGUAGAGUGCUUUGAGCUCCGGGUGCAAUAGAUACAAAGAUGGCACUUAUGGUCCACAUAUCGCUACAGAUAACCACUUAUUUCUUCAAAGAGAUGAAGUGACAACAGCCAUCUCAACCUAAGCAGGGAACAUUACAAGUCACCCCACAGCCUGGUCUCUACCCCUGCCUGAGCUUAAUGGCUCCUGCUUCAUGAAUAUGAUGCCCUUUUAUUCAUACGUCUUUGGGUUCCUUCAGGAGUAGCAGUUUGAAUCGGUGAUGCUCUUCAGUGAUGUGUGCAGUCACCUGCCUGUGUUUUACACAAGCACUUAGAUGAGCUACAGCCAGUGUCACUGGCUGAUCAUUUUGCAAAUGCAAAUCCAAGUGCUUUUCAUAUUAUCCCUAACUCAAGUGAACAGAAAACAAAAACCUACCAGCUUGAGAUUAAGACAAAAAAGAGACAGUGAAGGAC
ensembl:lncRNA